AGUGGCGGACGGGUGAGUAACACGUAGGUAACCUACCCUUAAGAGGGGGACAACCCAGGGAAACUUGGGCUAAUACCCCAUAAGACCACUGGGAUAAAAGGAGCACUUAGGGAUGGGCCUGCGGCCUAUCAGGUAGUUGGUGGGGUAACGGCCCACCAAGCCAGAGACGGGUAGCCGGACUGAGAGGUCGAACGGCCACACUGGAACUGAGACACGGUCCAGACUCCUACGGGAGGCAGCAGUGGGGAAUCUUGCACAAUGGGGGAAACCCUGAUGCAGCGACGCCGCGUGGAGGAUGAAGGCCUUCGGGUUGUAAACUCCUUUUGUGAGGGACAAUUGAUGGUACCUCACGAAUAAGCCACGGCUAACUCUGUGCCAGCAGCCGCG
rnacentral:rRNA from 1 species